AUUGAACGCUGGCGGAAUGCUUUACACAUGCAAGUCGAACGGCAGCACGGACUUCGGUCUGGUGGCGAGUGGCGAACGGGUGAGUAAUGUAUCGGAACGUGCCCAGUCGUGGGGGAUAACGUAGUGAAAAUUACGCUAAUACCGCAUACGAUCUAUGGAUGAAAGCGGGGGAUCGCAAGACCUCGCGCGAUUGGAGCGGCUGAUAUCAGAUUAGGUAGUUGGUGGGGUAAAGGCCCACCAAGCCAACGAUCUGUAGCUGGUCUGAGAGGACGACCAGCCACACUGGAACUGAGACACGGUCCAGACUCCUACGGGAGGCAGCAGUGGGGAAUUUUGGACAAUGGGCGAAAGCCUGAUCCAGCCAUUCCGCGUGCAGGAUGAAGGCCCUCGGGUUGUAAACUGCUUUUGUACAGAACGAAAAGGUUUCUACUAAUACUAGGAGCUCAUGACGGUACUGUAAGAAAAGCACCGGCUAACUACGUGCCAGCAGCCGCCGUAA
rnacentral:rRNA from 1 species